UCCCUGGUGGCUCAGAGGUUACAGCGUCUGCCUCCAAUGCAGGAGACCCAGGUUCGAUCCCUGGGUCGGGAA
rnacentral:tRNA from 1 species